rnacentral:rRNA from 1 species
GACGAACGCUGGCGGCGUGCUUAACACAUGCAAGUCGAACGCUGAAGCUCAGCUUUUGUUGGGUGGAUGAGUGGCGAACGGGUGAGUAACACGUGAGUAACCUGCCUCCUUCUUUGGGAUAACGCCCGGAAACGGGUGCUAAUACUGGAUAUUCACUGGUCUUCGCAUGGGGGUUGGUGGAAAGGGUUUUUCUGGUGGGGGAUGGGCUCGCGGCCUAUCAGCUUGUUGGUGGGGUGAUGGCCUACCAAGGCUUUGACGGGUAGCCGGCCUGAGAGGGUGAGCGGUCACAUUGGGACUGAGAUCCGGCCCAGACUCCGACGGGGGGCAGCAGUGGGGAAUAUUGCACAAGGGGCGCAAGCCUGAUGCAGCGACGCCGCGGGAGGGAUGGGGGCCGUCGGGUUGUGAACCUCUUUCGCUCAUGGUCAAGCCGCAACAAUGGUUGUGGUGAGGGUAGUGGGUAAAGAAGCGCCGGCUAACUACGUG